GAAAAAGCGAAAGUAAGAGCGAAC
rnacentral:rRNA from 1 species